UCUUCAGUCCUCACCAUUUUUACUCACUCUAGUUUCUCUAAUUUACAGUGUGGGUCCUCCACUAGAGCAGAGAGCUGCUCUACAGUUGAU